UCAUAAAUUUACUACUACCGUGGAUUGAACAUCAGAGGGUAAAAUGGCCACAUCGAAGCAAUUCAUCUAAAAAAGCAAUAUUGCAAUUUGACAUUCGCGCAUGUAAAAGUAAGUGCGCAAUGCAAACAAAUGUCAAAUAGCAAUAUUGCUUUCUAAGAUGAAUUGCUUCGAUGUGGCCAUUUUAACCCCCCCAGUGCUCAAAAAGUGGGACGCACAGUUACUGUUAAUAUAGCGACGUUGACAGUACUUUACCUGCGCAAUGCAAACAAAUGUGCGAUUAGGCGCCGAACUGGCAACACGGAAGUGUGUGGUAAAAACUUGCAAAAAUAUAAACUCACAGCGAAAUAAGAAGGAUGGAACAUCAUAAUUCUAAUAAGUAAUGACAUUGUGCAUGUUAUCAUAGUAUAAACAUUUUAUUUUUUACAGUAAACCCCACAAAAAAUAUUAUUUUCGUUUAAAAUAUACGUCGUUUAGAACGGCAACUUUCCGCUCCCCACCAUCGGCUGAGCUAGGUUUACCUCAGCCCUAGGUCUUACUUUCGUCGUCAAUUGCGUAGUUUCGUAGGUCAAAGAUAAAUUAUGAAAUUUAGUUUAAAGUACUAAAUAAAGACAGAUGUAAAGGUGACAAAAACGUUUUCUUUUUUCGUUAUUUUAAGUUAGGUACGUAGUUAUACCUGUCAUUUUCUUAUUGUAAUCGACAAGAAUAAAAUUUAUGGAGCACACGUCACUUUUACGCAGAAAUUUAAAACAACAACCCUCUAAAAAAUGUACAUUGGCCAAUAGCCCGACAGAAUUAAAUUGACAGCACACAUUAAAGGGGUUGCAUACCAGCGAGAUAACUAUUUAAUUCGCUCGGGUAAUUCAUUCAUUCACCCAUUCAAUUCAAAAUCCAAAACAGUUGUCAAUCAUCCGUCCCAUUCCUUUUCCGCAGAUGACGGGUAUAACUUAAAAAAUAAAAAUUAGGUGACUGCAGGAAUCGGGGCCAUUGGCAUUCUAAGCUUCAACAAAAAACUACGUAGGUACUAUCGAUUAAGGGUACUUACUUAAAUAAAUACAUAUACCCGGCUUUUCGGCGGGAAACGGGAACGGGACAGUUGCUUUCUUCAUUGAGUAAUCUAAAUAAUUAAUACGAAGUGGUGUUUUGUGGAAGACAUUCGCGAGUGUUAUUAUAUUGGAGUAUUCAAUAAACAAAGUGUAUCUGCCUAUUUUCGCUUCGUGCCGGGAAGCCGCUUCAUAACUCAAAAGUUUAUGCGGACUUUUGAGUUAAUUCGUUUGGGGUUCGGAGUAGGAGUCUACUCCGAGGGUGGGGGCUUAGGUUUCAUCAUCAUCACCUUUCAUCAUUUCAUUAAUCAUCAAGAAAAAAAAAUACGUCAGACAUGGCUGUAUGGGCAUAGUUCCCUUUGCCUUACCCUUCGGGGAAAACCAAAACAAAAAAAAAUAAAUAAAUAAAUAUACCCUUACGAAAAUUCUAAACGAAGGGUAGUAUGCAAAAGAAAUGACAGACUGCGUCGCGUCAGUUCGUCAAGGUACGCCGCGCGGAGCAGACGUCGCUUGUCGCUACGGCUAGCUCCGAUGUCAACCGUCGGUUGGUCCGGUUAUCCAUCUAUUUUUUCGCUAAAGUAUCUAUCGACUAAUAAUUUUUGAGAGUGAAUUGUGAAGAAUCCAGACACAAAGACGGUAGUACCGGUUAUGGCGCAUAGCAACGGGGAUGUAAAGUAAGAAGUAAAAGAUAGUCUACUUAAAGACUAUCCCGGAUGCCUGCCUCUCUACCAGCCCAGGAGAGUAGAUUACAUUGGCUUGAAGAAAUACUCUUUGAAGAAUUUUGAAGCCCUGGCUUGUGGAUGGAGGGCAUACAAGGAUACCUUCUUCGGCCGCAAGAAGAUGCCUUUCGAGUUUCCUAGAGCGCAAGAUUUCCAUGUCUACAACGGCCACGUGAUUUACGACCCGACGAGCUCGAUCGAUUAUCGACCAAAUUAUCGAUUUCACAUGCGAGCGGGCCCCGGACUCGAUCAUUUGCGUCAACUGCCCAUCCCUAACGACACAUCACUACGACCGAAGGCGGGAAAAGACACCAUGAAACAUAGAGUUCAGCACAAGAAAAAGUUUGUUUUUUAAAUUUUUGUGUUUGGUAUUUUUUGGGUGAAUUUUUGGACUUGCCUCUAGAACGGCGCGCUUGGAUAGUUCUCCGAACACCGGAAGUCAAUGCCAUUACCGUGAAAGCAAAUAUUUCGUAGAAUCUUUUGUCUUUUUGCAAAUAUUUAGGACUUUAUGUGGUCGACGAUUUCCCUCAUUCAGCGCUUAUCGCUAUCGACCCACCAGGGUCGAUUAAUUCUUUCAAAUACUUAUUGUUCCUCUCAGACGACGCCCUGAGCCGAGGUGCGCGCCCAAUAGGGCACCCUAAGGCCGGUUGUCUUAAAUUUUGUACUGGGUGAGACCCUCAGUGCUCCCCAUUUGUCCGGCCAAGUAGUUAAUGCCAUCUGCGGCAAAAAUAUAAUACUUAAGUCACUUCAAAAACAUAUAAAAAAAUAACAUUUUAUGUAUGUCGUCAACUUAUGUAAGUCCUAACUGGAUAUUUGCGAAAACUACAAAUAUUCUAGGAUACUUUUGCAUUAACGGUAAUGACUGGUACGACGCAACGAUAUUGACUGGUGUUCAAAGUUCUACCUUUUCGUGCGAAUUCAACUCGUCGUAUACGUCAAGAAUAUGUAAGAAAGGAACAUUCUCGUCCUCUCAAGUGCUAUGGGACUUUGGGAUAGUGCGCACGAGUUGGUUGUCAUGGACCAUUGUUUUUUUUAUUGUUUUUUCUUUUUAUACUCUUUAUUGUUCGUAAGUACGUGUUCGCGCGAAAUUAAUUCGAACGAAAAUAAAUCUAUUUGUACGUAAUUUUCUUGGCGCAUAUUUUUUAACGACAAAGCGUCAGAAAUUUCGCCAUACGGCCUCUUUCUUGAUCGAAUCAAAUAGAGUCGACAACACUUUAAAAAACAUACAAGAUGGCGCCAACGAAAUUACAUGAGUACCAACUUUAAAAAAAUCACCCAAGUAAAUGACCUAAUGACACAAAGGCGCCAAAAUAACAGUCAUUUUGAAACGCAAAAAGUAGCCCGGUAAAUAACUCUAAUUUUAUUAUUCUCAUUGUUUAUUUUUGUAGUUAUUUAUU
rnacentral:misc_RNA from 1 species